rnacentral:rRNA from 1 species
UCGGAUUCACUGGGCGUAAAGGGUGCGCAGGCGGCCGAGUGUGUGAGGCGUGAAAGCCCGGGGCUUAACCCCGGAAUUGCACCUCAAACUACACGGCUAGAGCAUUGGAGAGGGUAGCAGAAUUCAUGGUGUAGCAGUGAAAUGCGUAGAUAUCAUGAGGAAUACCAGAGGCGAAGGCGGCUACCUGGACAAUUGCUGACGCUCAGGCACGAAAGCGUGGGGAGCAAACAGG